UACAGAGGUCUCAAGCGUUGUUCGGAUUCAUUGGGCGUAAAGGGUGCGUAGGCGGCGCGGUAAGUCGGGUGUGAAAACCUGCAGCUUAACUGUGGGCGUGCGGUCGAUACGGGCAUCACUGGAGUUCGGCAGGGGAGACUGGAAUUCCUGGUGUAGCGGUGAAAUGCGCAGAUAUCAGGAGGAACACCGAUAGUGAAGACAGCUUACUAGGCUGUAACUGACGCUGAGGCACGAAAGUGUGGGGAUCAAACAGG
rnacentral:rRNA from 1 species